GGGAUUUCUGUUUCAUAUGUACUUUCGCCAUCACAUCCUAAACGUAUUGUAUAAUACAAAAAUGUCCGUUUCUAAUCGAACUCAGCGCAACCUUACUUGUUUCUUAUUAUUCCGUUGCAAAUACAUAUAAAUCUGAAACUGGUGUGUGUUUAUGGGUGUAUGUAUAUAUGUAAGUUGGUGGUGCGAUAUGGUUUAUUUGAUACUGAUCGUUUUCAAAAUGUGUUGGAGUUGUUUUAAAAAAUUCAUUCUGCUAAUCGCUGUUAAUGGACUUGGACGUGUAACUUUGAAAAUGGCGUGAAUGUCGCGAUUGAAAUCAAGUGUAUAAAUAAAGUGCAAUGCAUAAUUGAUAGAAGUGUCACGUAAGGAGAAUUGACAGACAACAGAAAACAAGUUUCAAGGAUUAAAAACAAAAUCUAGAACAAAAUGACAGAGGAAAAUGAUAAUAGGCCUAGUAAUGGCGUUGCCCAAGGCUGCGAAGCAGAAACAACUGGAAAUAGAAAAUUGGCGGCCGAAGAAACUCAUGAGCUUACAACAAUUGUCGAUAAAUCACUGGAGAAUCCGAUUAAUAAUAACCUUGGCCUAACUGAGAAGAAAUGGGGUGGUGCGGGACAUGACGGUAGCAUCGAACCUGUUUCCAAUGCUUCUGAGGCAGAAGGACAAGUGAAGAAACUACCUUUUCCAAAAUCAGUAUUCUUUAUCAUCAGUUAUGAGUUCAGCAAAGGUUUCCACUACUAUGGCACGCGAACCAUUCUGGUUUUGUACCUGAGUCGGCAACUUGAUUAUGACGAUGACACUACUACCGUUAUAUUCCACAUCUACGCUAUGCUUGGGUACUUUCUAUGCGUUUUUGGUGCCAUUAUAUCGGAUAGUUGGCUUGGAAGAUUCAAAACGAUCUUAUAUCUCUCGUUCAUCUAUGUUGCUGGUUCAGCUUUGGUUACCCUUGGUGCGGUACCACCAUUAAAUUUACCUGCGACGACAUUUACCAUGGUCGGGUUGGGAUUAAUGUCUUUGGGUUCGGGUCUCGUGAAACCAUCCAUCUCCGCUUUUGGUGGGGAUCAGUUUAAGUUACCCGAGCAAGUGAAGCAAAUUACCAUCUUUUUCUCACUGUACUACUUUGUAGUCAAUGCUGGUUCAUUGAUUUCGAUUACAACUACACCAAUUUUACGCGAGGAUGUGCACUGCUUCGGCGAAAAGGAGUGUUAUUCAUUGGCUUUUGGCUUACCAGCUGUGCUCGUAAUUGCCUCGAUAGUUGUCUUCGCGUUGGGUCGUCCACUUUACAAGAGCAACCCGCCGGCAGGCAAUAUGGUCGUAUUAGUCAGCAAAACCAUUGGUAACGCAAUUGCUACCAAAUGGCGGGAGAAGAAGACUAAUCCUCGCGAACACUGGCUGGACUACGCCGAUAAGAAACAUGACCGUCAACUGAUCGAAGAUGUCAAAGUGUUGAUGCGUGUUCUCGUACUAUAUUUGCCCUUGCCCGUUUUCUGGGCUCUCUUCGAUCAGCAGGGCUCACGGUGGACUAUUCAGGCAACGCGUAUGGAUGGCGACAUGGGCUCGUGGGAUAUCAAACCAGAUCAAAUGCAAAUGAUAAAUCCUUUCUUAAUUCUGGCCUUCAUUCCUCUUUACGAACUGGCUUUCUAUCCUCUGCUUGCUUUCGUCGGCAUUCGUCGUCCAUUGCAAAAGUUAACACUAGGUGGCAUCUUUGCGGGUAUAGCUUUCGUUGUCUCCGGUCUUGUGGAGCUAAGUCUGGAGAACACCUAUCCAAUUCUGCCAACCGCUGGAAAUGCCCAGCUUCGUGUCUAUAAUGGCGAAAACUGUGACUAUGCCAUCACCUCUAAUUUGACCGGUUUAAAUUUCGAUAUUGCUUCGCUUGAUAUGUUUGUGGACCGCAACAUUAAUAUUGACUCAACAAAUCAUCUGUAUGUCGAAUUUCAGUUCACCGAGAAAGCCGGCCUAAACUGCUUUGAAUUCCCAAAACAGACCUUUGUUUUAGAUACAAUAACAGCACAUUAUUUGUUUUUGAAUUCGAAAAACACCACAGAUCCGCUAAUAUGGGGGAUAGACACUGUAAGCAAACCCAGUCGCGGUUAUCCGUUUGGACGUACUUUGGCGAACGUUCGGCCAGGUCGGCAAGUUGAGUGGAAGAAUAAGAAAGGCUCCAUCGAGCACACAGAACCCGCCAAUUUGCGCAACGAAACUGAGCUAAAGUCUGGCGAAUAUGAAAUUUCGGUCGAUAACACUGUAGCUGCCAAGGCGUAUCUCAAAGUUGGUGGCAUAUACACAGUAAUAAUAAAUGAAGAAACGACCGGUAUUUAUGAGAGUAAUGUCGUAAUUGUAACGAACCCGAAUUCGAUGUCCAUUUUCUGGUUAAUUCCCCAAUACGUAAUUAUGACACUCGCAGAGGUUAUGUUCUCCGUGACUGGCUUAGAGUUUUCAUAUGCGCAAGCCCCAGUGUCGAUGAAAUCGGUACUGCAAGCCUGUUGGCUACUUACAGUGGCCUUCGGUAAUGUGAUCGUCGUGAUUAUUGCCGAACUGAAACUCUUCGAAUCGCAAGCCUACGAGUUCUUCCUCUUCGCUGGUUUUAUGUUUGUCGAUAUGAUCAUAUUUAUGUUUGUUGCUUAUCGGUACAAACCAAAUAAUCCAGCCUCUCAAAGUGAAGCUGAGCCAUUGACGGAAAAAACCGAUAAGGUAGGCAUUGACAAUGUGGCCAAAACGAUUGACGAUUAGGUUCAAAUUCUGUAUGUUAAAUCGUACAAUAUGUAAUUUAACGUCAAUUAAUACGACUAAUGGUUUGAGACACAGUGAAUUUAUAAUUUAAUACAUAGAAGGUCUAAAGAGCUUAAUGGAAGCUUAAGAAAAGUGCGAUCGCUUUUUCCCAUUUCUCUAUCAAUCCCUUAAAAAUAAACACCUGCACAAGCAGAUUCGUUUUUCUUGAAGGUGUGAGAUUCCGUGAAAUAGCCUAUAUUUGCUUUGAUUCGGUUUAGCAAAUGACCAACAUUAACUCGAGACCAUGUGUUCAAAGAGCUCAUGAGCAAUUUUCAUUGCCUUUUGAGCGAAUGCGACGCUACAAUAAAAGGAAACGUAAGGAAGUAUGCUAGUGCGAUCUGUGUGAAAAAGUGCAUUCAAAUGAGAAGUGAAGAAGAAGAUCGCUGCGGUGAUUGUUUAAAGGCGAUAAGUGUGUUUCUUGUCAGGGUAAGUGCCGAACAGACGUCAGGAAUUCCGUUAGCGUGAUUACUAUCGCAUUCACAAUUUGUAUUUACUCGCAAUCGAGUUCUCAUACAAGUAUUUCAAUAUAAUCACACGAUUUUUUCACAGCUACCGAAGGAAAUUAAGCUUAUCGCAGAUUAAUGUCGGCAAGUCUCUGAACUUUGCUCGCGUCUUUUAAAUAUAUUCAAUUAUGCACGUGUCUAUAUGUUUGUAUGUAGGUAUUAAAUUAACUACUUACUGAUAAUUUUGCAAAAGUAUCAUAAAAGUAUUAGAAGCGUCGUAGGCACGGGCGGUAUAAUUUGAUUCCUGAUUCUCACUCACGAUUUGAUGACUUGGAAUGUUUAGUGAUUGAUUACAGCAUGUGACUAAUUGCGGAAAUAAAACAAAUCUAAAGUAUUUGCGACUGUUUUGUUUCAUAAGUUAUAGAGAUCAUUUAAAUGUAUGGCACCUCAUAGAUUAUCCAUACAUAUGUAUAUAUGUGAGUAUGUACGUUAUUCUCGAAAGGGAUUCCUUUCAUUUUUUAUAUAGAUUCUAGAUAGGCUUCUAAAGGUAUAA